rnacentral:rRNA from 1 species
AUUGAACGCUGGCGGCAGGCCUAACACAUGCAAGUCGAGCGGAUGAAGGGAGCUUGCUCCUGGAUUCAGCGGCGGACGGGUGAGUAAUGCCUAGGAAUCUGCCUGGUAGUGGGGGAUAACGUCCGGAAACGGGCGCUAAUACCGCAUACGUCCUGAGGGAGAAAGUGGGGGAUCUUCGGACCUCACGCUAUCAGAUGGGCCUAGGUCGGAUUAGCUAGUUGGUGGGGUAAAGGCCUACCAAGGCGACGAUCCGUAACUGGUCUGAGAGGAUGAUCAGUCACACUGGAACUGAGACACGGUCCAGACUCCUACGGGAGGCAGCAGUGGGGAAUAUUGGACAAUGGGCGAAAGCCUGAUCCAGCCAUGCCGCGUGUGUGAAGAAGGUCUUCGGAUUGUAAAGCACUUUAAGUUGGGAGGAAGGGCAGUAAGUUAAUACCUUGCUGUUUUGACGUUACCAACAGAAUAGGCACCGGCUAACUUCGUG